ACGCUCGACACCUACUGGAGGCAGCAGUGGGGAAUAUUGCACAAUGGGGGAAACCCUGAUGCAGCGACGCCGCGUGAGCGAAGAAGUAUUUCGGUAUGUAAAGCUCUAUCAGCAGGGAAGAAGAAAGACGGUACCUGACUAAGAAGCCCCGGCUAACUACGUGCCAGCAGCCGGCGGUAAUCUGAGCGGGCUGGCAAGGC
rnacentral:rRNA from 1 species